AAUAAAACACCAAAAACCUCUCUCCUCUCAUAAUAUUCAUCCUCUAAAUCAAUCAUCAAGACUUGCUUUGGUUGAACCCCAAACAACUCCACACGAUUGAGGUAUAUAUGCUCUUGUACAAGCUAAGAGGAAUUGUUUGACGAAGUGGACUUUGGUUGGUCUAUGGCGUAGACGAUUUGAACUCCUCGAGUUGUGGUAGAACUUGUUGUGUGGUAAAACGCCAAGGUAAUGUACGGGAAGAGAUUUGAAGAUGGCCAUUUGGAGUAGACUUUUUGGGAGCCUUAGUGAAGAUCACAUUUGCAUAUGCAUCUAGGUCUUGUAAAAUUUUGGGGACUUGUACAUGAUCCAUAUGUAACACUUAUGUAUUAAAUUUUGGAGGCUUGUUGGACAC